rnacentral:rRNA from 1 species
AUUGAACGCUGGCGGCAGGCUUAACACAUGCAAGUCGAACGAGUGGCGGACGGGUGAGUAAUGCUUGGGAAUCUGGCUUAUGGAGGGGGAUAACGACGGGAAACUGUCGCUAAUACCGCGUACCAUAGGAUGAGCCCAAGUGGGAUUAGGUAGUUGGGGGGGUAAAAGCCUACCAAGAUGACGAUCUCUAGCUGGUCUGAGAGGAUGACCAACCAGACCGGGACUUGGACACUACCCGGACUCCUGAGGGAGGCAGCGAUGGGGAAUAUGGCGCAAGGUGUGCGACACUGACGCAGCCAUGCCGCGUGAAUGAUGAAGGCCUUCAAGUUGUAAAGUUCUAUCGGUAUAAAGGCGUUAAAUACAGAAUGAACAGCGGCUAACUCCGUGCCAGCAGCCGCGGUAAUAC